rnacentral:rRNA from 1 species
GAUGAACGCUGGCGGCGUGCCUAAUACAUGCAAGUCGAGCGAACGGACGAGAAGCUUGCUUCUCUGAUGUUAGCGGCGGACGGGUGAGUAACACGUGGAUAACCUACCUAUAAGACUGGGAUAACUUCGGGAAACCGUAGCUAAUACCGGAUAAUAUUUUGAACCGCAUGGUUCAAAAGUGAAAGACGGUCUUGCUGUCACUUAUAGAUGGAUCCGCGCUGCAUUAGCUAGUUGGUAAGGUAACGGCUUACCAAGGCAACGAUGCAUAGCCGACCUGAGAGGGUGAUCGGCCACACUGGAACUGAGACACGGUCCAGACUCCUACGGGAGGCAGCAGUAGGGAAUCUUCCGCAAAGGGCGAAAGCCUGACGGAGCAACGCCGCGUGAGUGAUGAAGGUCUUCGGAUCGUAAAACUCUGUUAUUAGGGAAGAACAUAUGUGUAAGUGACUGUGCACAUCUUGACGGUACCUAAUCAGAAAGCCACGGCUAACUACGUG